CGGAGGAGAACCAGAUGCCAGCCUCUUCUGGCUCACAGGCUGAGAGACAAGAAGAGUCAAGGUUUCCCCACCCACAUUCCCCUUCCCCAGAAAGGGACCAGCUGAUCCAGAGAAACAAAGGCUGGGAGGAUAGCUAUUGAGCUUGCUUCUCCAGGCCUUGUGCUUCCCUCAGGCUGCCUUCUGUGUAGCUGAUCGUGCUGCGUUUCAGGGUGGUCCAGUUACUCAGAAGCUCAGGGUGACCAUGGUGCCUGUCAUCCUGCCCCUGCAGUUUCCUCAUGGGCCACAUUUCCCAGCUUACAGCAUCUUCUACCUGCGGGUUGACCAGAGCCCAGAAGUGCUGCAUGCUCAGCUGCCUGGAGAAUGAUCCAGAAAAUAUUUUUUGGGUUCAAUCUUGGAAGAGAAUUACUAACAGUCCACUGGUCCACCUAGCAGCAAUAGUCCUUUCCAUAGAGCAAACAAAAUUGACUCCUUCAGGGAACGUUCUCCAGAUCUCCAGGCCAUCAUGCCAGACUGCCUUAUCCAGGGCAGGAGUAGAACUUUGAAUUCACCAUACAUUAAUCUCAGACUAUUAAGAAGCUGUAGCAUCUCAAAAGCCAUAAACUCCCAAUUCAAGAGUAUUUUUGCCCCCUCUUCCUGAGAGACCAGUUUCUAAAAGUGCAAGUGGCUUUUUAGGGCUUUUCCUCCUUGUGUUCUGGCAGUGGAACAAGCAUCCAAGGUCAUCUGAGGAUCGUACCUGCUGGAAACAGCAAGGCCACCACGUCCUCCCUUAAAUGAGAGGAUACACAGGAAGGAAGUUGGACAUAACCCUAAUGUUAGUGGCCCAG
rnacentral:lncRNA from 1 species